rnacentral:rRNA from 1 species
ACCGAACCGACUAAUGUUGAAAAAUUAGCGGAUGACUUGUGGCUGGGGGGGAAAGGCCAAUCAAACCGGGAGAUAGCUGGUUCUCCCCGAAAGCUAUUUAGGUAGCGCCUCGUGAACUCAUCUCCGGGGGUAGAGCACUGUUUCGGCAAGGGGGUCAUCCCGACUUACCAACCCGAUGCAAACUGCGAAUACCGGAGAAUGUUAUCACGGGAGACACACGGCGGGUGCUAACGUCCGUCGUGAAGAGGGAAACAACCCAGACCGCCAGCUAAGGUCCCAAAGUCAUGGUUAAGUGGGAAACGAUGUGGGAAGGCCCAGACAGCCAGGAUGUUGGCUUAGAAGCAGCCAUCAUUUAAAGAAAGCGUAAUAGCUCACUGGUCGAGUCGGCCUGCGCGGAAGAUGUAACGGGGCUAAACCAUGCACCGAAGCUGCGGCAGCGACGCUUAUGCGUUGUUGGGUAGGGGA